rnacentral:rRNA from 1 species
GACGAACGCUGGCGGCGUGCUUAACACAUGCAAGUCGAACGGAAAGGCCCUGCUUUUGUGGGGUGCUCGAGUGGCGAACGGGUGAGUAACACGUGAGUAACCUGCCCUUGACUUUGGGAUAACUUCAGGAAACUGGGGCUAAUACCGGAUAGGAGCUCCUGCUGCAUGGUGGGGGUUGGAAAGUUUCGGCGGCUGGGGAUGGACUCGCGGCUUAUCAGCUUGUUGGUGGGGUAGUGGCUUACCAAGGCUUUGACGGGUAGACGGCCUGGGAGGGUGACCGGCCACAUUGGGACUGAGAUACGGCCCAGACUCCUACGGGAGGCAGCAGUGGGGAAUAUUGCACAAUGGGCGGAAGCCUGAUGCAGCAACGCCGCGUGCGGGAUGACGGCCUUCGGGUUGUAAACCGCUUUCGCCUGUGACGAAGCGUGAGUGACGGUAAUGGGUAAAGAAGCACCGGCUAACUACGUG